rnacentral:rRNA from 1 species
CCUACGGGUGGCAGCAGUGGGGAAUAUUGGACAAUGGGGGGAACCCUGAUCCAGCCAUGCCGCGUGUGUGAAGAAGGCCCUCGGGUUGUAAAGCACUUUCAGUGAGGAAGAACGCCUGGUGGUUAAUACCCAUCAGGAAAGACAUCACUCACAGAAGAAGCACCGGCUAACUCCGUGCCAGCAGCCGCGGUAAUACGGAGGGUGCGAGCGUUAAUCGGAAUUACUGGGCGUAACGCGCGCGUAGGUGGCUUGAUAAGCCGGUUGUGAAAGCCCCGGGCUCAACCUGGGAACGGCAUCCGGAACUGUCAAGCUAGAGUGCAGGAGAGGAAGGUAGAAUUCCCGGUGUAGCGGUGAAAUGCGUAGAGAUCGGGAGGAAUACCAGUGGCGAAGGCGGCCUUCUGGACUGACACUGACACUGAGGUGCGAAAGCGUGGGUAGCAAACAGGAUUAGAUACCCUAGUAGUC